rnacentral:rRNA from 1 species
CCUAGGGGAGGCAGCAGUAGGGAAUAUUGGGCAAUGGGCGCAAGCCUGACCCAGCGACGCCGCGUGAGGGAUGAAGGUCUUAGGAUUGUAACCCUCUUUCAGUAGGGAAGAAGCGAAAGUGACGGUACCUAAAGAAGAAGCACCGGCUAACUAUGUGCCAGCAGCCGCGG